UACAGAGGUCUCAAGCGUUGUUCGGAUUCAUUGGGCGUAAAGGGUGCGUAGGUGGCGCGGUAAGUCGGGUGUGAAAUUUCGGAGCUUAACUCCGAAACUGCAUUCGAUACUGCCGUGCUUGAGGACUGGAGAGGAGACUGGAAUUUACGGUGUAGCAGUGAAAUGCGUAGAGAUCGUAAGGAAGACCAGUGGCGAAGGCGGGUCUCUGGGCCGGAACUGACGCUGAGGAGCGAAAGCGUGGGGAGCAAACAGG
rnacentral:rRNA from 1 species